rnacentral:lncRNA from 1 species
GCCUACACGCCUUUUAUUAAGGAAAGUAUGUAGGUGAAUUAACAAAAUCAAGCACAGGCAAUGACAAAGCUACCUCAUAGUGAAUAACAAAGGAAACUAUUAACACUGGUGCCUGCCUCUAGGGCAUAGUGGCUGCUUAGUGAAGAGCAUGGUUUAGGAAAAACGCCCUUAUCUUGUCUGUAAAGGCGACCUUUCAGAACUCUGCAUCAGCAGAAUUCAGCAGUUCAGUGGUUUCCAACAUCUCCUCCCAUUUUCACUUAUUUGUUGUAUAAGAACAGCCAUAGUAAAUUUUGAUUGCAGGGCGUUCAUUUGGUUUCUAUGGAUCAAGCCAAUUCUGUAGGCUGCACAAAAAAAGAGAAAUCACAAAUACAGGGACAAAUAAAAGAAAUAAUUUGGAUUCUCAAACAACGAUGGAGUCCCGAGAGGGCUGAGACGGAGGGCAGUUAAUCCUUGUAGGUGGUUAUCUAGGCUCCAUAGUCCGGGAAAGGGUGUCGACCUUGUACUGGGCGGUACCGCCGUCCACAGCAGGUCUCCAAGGUGAACAGUCACAUUGGGGCGGAGGGGAGAGUCCUGUCUCCAUCUUCCUGGGAACCUAUCAUUCCAGCCUUUUUUAAAUGGGAUGGGGCGACGGUCCUCUCUUCCGUAGCUACUUCCUGCUGGCGAGGGGCGACGAGUGCUGGGGGGCUGGACUGGACAUGGUAGGUUCCUACUAUGGAGGAUGGGAUGAAAAAAAUAAGAUUAAGCAGAGGUUGGUGAUAUAGGUUGACGCCGGUACUGUUGAAGGAAGUGUGUAGUUUUAUCUAAGUUGGUUUUAACGUUUGCUGUACUAUUGACACAUAAUUAACAGGAGCUAUUGGUAGCUGGUGGCAUCAAGUCUGACUGGGCACAUAAACCUGAAGUUCUUAGCAAUACAAAGUCUUGUCGAAAAUCACUCCCUUAAUAUUUCCUAGUAUCACCUUGGCUUGGGUGUCUGACUCACGGCUACUCCAUCCUGCCUUUUCUCUCUAAUGGCCAAUGCAGAUGCCACUGUUAAUGACUUCUGCUUUUCUAGAUAUGAGAAGAAGCAAGAAUUUGGGCCCAUAAAAAUCCUUACCUGCAAUCUAACUAUCUGAAGGCCUGUUUGGUCAGUUUUCCCUUAGCACCGAGUGCCUCACUCCUGGUCUCCGCACUGAGCUCUGCUCAGGGGCUGUUGCGGGUCGGAAGCUGCAGUGGCUCAUGUUUUACUCCAUGUAGAGGCUGAUGGCAAGGGCCAAACUCCAGUGCCCAGCGCUCCCCCACGGUCAUAAAUUCGACCAUAGUUUUGGGAGGCAUAUCAUGACCAUUUUGUCCCACGGUGCUAGGAAUGGAUAUUCCUAGAUCUGGCAAAGAUUUAGCUGACAGGCAACUCAAUGUGCUAUUACUGGACUAGGCCUUAUUAACAGUAGCCAAUCGUCUCUGGACCACCUGUCUUCCUAGUCUGUUACGGUCCAGGAAAAUAUUCCCUCUUGUUGCAUUUUCCCAUAUCUAGAGAUCACUGACCUCAUAUGAGACUGUAUUAUCAUUUCAUCAGAGACUCAGUUACAAAUUUGGCAAGGCAAGAAAUAGCAAUUUUGUGAACGCAGUUAAUAAAAAUAGUAUGUGUUCAUAAAGUUAUAAACAAAAAUUUAAGUUGAGCAUAUGGAGGUUCCUAGUCUAGGGGUCGAAUCAGAACUGUAACCACCAGCCUACGCCACAGCCACGCCAGAUCUGAGCUAUGUCUGCGAGCUACCACUGUGACCCAGAUCCUUACCCCACUGAGCGAGGCCAGGGAUCGAAACCCUCAAUCUCACGGUUCCUAGUCAGAUUCAUUAACCACUGAGCCACAACAGAAAGUCCAGUUGUUUCUUAUCUUUAAAGAGUAUUAUAUACUGGCUUUGUCCAUUCAGCCUAAUUUCUUAGUGUUAUCAGGCUGGUUAUCCCUAGAUGGUUUAAUUGUUCCCAACAAAAGGGAGCCUUUAAGUUUAAAUUAAUAUAGCCUAGCAAAGUUAUAUCUCUUGGCUGAAGUCUCACUUAUUGUUGAUUGAGCUUGAGCAACAUUAGAAGAAAAUGUAUUUAUGGUCUGGGUCAGAGCAGGUGUUAACUGGCCAGGUGAGGGGAUCCCACCUAGUAACAGCAAUAAUAAGAGCCUUGGAGGGGAGAAACCCAUCAGGGUAAAUCAGAAGUAAAACAAAUAACCAUACGAGUCAGGUGACAGUCUCGGGAUAGUGGACUGCUUCUGAUGUUGUCUUCUUCUUGUCCCUGCACUGGUGUUUUUCUUAUUAGAGCCUUGGUUUAGGGUGAGUUUGAAGUCAGUAAUUCACUCUAUAGACCAAUCCAAUGUAGAGGCCCUUCUUGAGUGAGAAAUAUAAAUUUAAGAGUUAAUUUUCUUCACUUUCUUUGUGCAUAUGGCACUUAAGAAUUCCUAAAAAGAAAGCUUUUAUAUCUUAGGUUGGGGACAACCCUUUAAAUGAUACUUUUCCAGAAUGUAUAUAUAUUCCCCUGGUUAUCAUGGGACAUCUGAUAUAUGUGCCCAGAAAUGGAUUACAGCAAUCAGCUUCAGAAACAAGCUUAGAUUAUUUUCCUUAAUAACUUGGUUAACAUUUAUAAUAAUGUAACAGCGGCAAAGAACUAUUUGGGAGGUGAGUUUCAGUCAGUAAACACAAUUUCAAUACGCAAAACUAGAAUAUGAAUCAAAACAUUCUUUUUCUUUUCUUUUCUUUUCUUUUUUUUUAUUUCUUUGGGCCGCUCCUGUGGCAUAUGGAGGUUCCCAGGCUAGGGGUCUAAUCGGAGCUGUAGCCACAGGCCUACACCAGAGCCACAGCAACGAGGGAUCCGAGCCAUCUGACGUUGCUAUGGCUGUGGUGUAGGCUGGGAGCAACAGCUACAAUUAGACCCCUAGCCUGGGAGCCUCCAUAUGCCGAGGAUAUGGCCCUAAAAAGACAAAACAAAAUAAAAUAACCCGUUUUUCCUUGUGGUCCGACCCAGGAAAGCAUCUGCUGACUUUGAUGGACUCUCAGCCCCUCAACUUAGAUUUGGGAGUAAUUAAAGACCAUGCGGGAGGGGCAAUCACAAUAACAACUGAAACAUCGGCUCCAUUAUCUGUUAAUCCCCUGAUAUUUUUUUUCCAUUAACCGUAAUAGUCAUUCGUGGACGUUCAGUUGUGACUUCCUGAGUCCAAAAGACUUGAGAAGUCCCUGCACUUCCAAUCCUGAUGUUCCCCUUUCUUUAUGAGGACUCUGUCCUAUUUUAAGAUAUGGCAGCAGUAACAAUUGAGCAAUCCUCCUUCCAGGAUGCAAAGGAAGUAGGGUUUUGGAUUUCAUCAUCACUUUAAUCUCUCCUUGACAGUCUGCAUCUAUCACUCCAGGCAAAACUUGUAAGCCUCUCAAGGUUAAGCCACUUCUCCCUCUAAUGAGGCCUACGGUGUCCGGAGGAAGAGGGCCAUAAAUUCCUGGAGGGACUGCCUGAAAGCCCUGUUCAUAUGUUAAAACAGCUGCUGUGGCGCCCGGCAAGUCCAACGCUUGGGAAGCCCCUGGGAGGGAUCGGAUGCCUUUUCGGUUGGAGCCACAAAAGCCCACAUUGUUGGACGGGGCCGGGGCUGGCCCUGGUUCCCGUUUCCCGACACCAGAGUGGUUAAUGGAGUACCAUUUCGGUGAAACUUAGAUCGGCAUUGAUUAGCCCAGUGCUUCCCUUUCUGACAGCGAGGACAUAAGCCGGGGUUCUGACUGGGUCCUGGAGAUGAUCCUGUUGCAGAGGGUGCCUUUUCUUUUGGGGGGGCUCGGCAUUCUCUCUGAAAGUGUCCUGCCUUUCCACAGUUAAAGCAUGUCUUUCCUGAGCGGCCAAGUGCUCUUUUCAAUGCUGCAGCAAGCAGCUCUUGAGUAUGACCUACAGUCCCUACAUCCUGACAUGCCUUAAUAUAAUCAAAGAGGUCUCCUGAAUUUCUUACAGGGGCCAUUGCCCUUCUACAGUCUUUAUUUGCGUUUUCGUAUGCUAAUAGUUUAAUUAAAAUAUCAGCCACCUGAGAAUGGGCUACUUGGCGAUGGACGGCCUGUGUUAGGCGGUCCACAAAUUGUGAGUAAGGUUCUGUAGGGCCUUGAAGGCAACGUGUAAAAGAUCCUUGUGGCUUUCCUGUCCCAGGAAUUGUCUUCCACGCUCUUUGGGCGGCCAGGCUCAACUGCUCAUACGCCAGAGGAUCAUAAGCCAGUUGUUUUGUUACGUCAAGAAAAGGGCCUGUCCCCACCAACAUUUCAAAAGUAAUUGGAACAUGAUCUCUUUUAUUUAAGCAAGCCUGUUCCCGACAAAAAUCUGAAAGACUAGACUUCCAAAUUAAAUAAUCUAUACCAUCCAGGGUGGCUUUGGCUAUCAUAUGCCAGUCCCACGGGGGAAGCUGGAGUGUCCCCACGCUUUCUACCAAGCGCAUCGUAAAGGGAGCUGUCACUCCGUUCUGUAUCACACUCUCCCGGAGAGCUUUAAGAUCUUUAAAAUCAAAAGUGUUCUGCGCAUGGAUAUUUUGUCCUGGGACUUGAGGAUUGGGGACAAUAGGUAUAGGGCAUGCUAAAAAGGUCCGAUCCUCUAGACUAGCCGACUUUAAGGCUGAUUGAAGGGGAGUUAGUGCUGCCGCCACAGCUAACGGCCUAUUUAAACUCUCAUCAAGAAAGGGAUCGGCCUGAGGGGGAGCAGAAGCUAUAGGCUUUUCUUUAUGUUCCCGUAAGGGCUCCAAAACACGUCUUACUAGUUCCCAUGUAGAAAAAACAGAAACAGAAAGAGAGGCCCCCGACCGAUGGGCGUGCCUUAAAUUUUUCCCCACGAGAUCCCAGCAUUCCGGGUCCACAGUACCCUCGCCUGGAAACCAAGGGUUAUAUUUGACCACGGCUUCUAACAAUUCCUCGAUCUCAGACCCUGUUACCUGAGCCCCCGACCAUUUCAACACACAUUUCAGCAACUGAAUAUAAUGUUUGGUUUCCUGUGAUUGAUUCUGCCCCAUUGUUAUCCUGGCUUAAAAUUUCUACUCACGGUUGCGAUUCCGUCGAGUGCAACGCUACCGUCUCCGCCGUCUGUAGUUGCACUUUUUCCUGCUCGUGGCCCAACUUCUCUUUCCUCUGCUCGUGGCAGUGUUAUGGCAGCUGCCCAGAAGCCCUGGGCCGCAGCGUAUCAGUUCUGGCGACAGCCCUGUGGCUGUCGUGUCCCAGCUCCAGCAGCUCUGUGGCUGCAGUGGAUCAGCUCUUUGACCCGGCGAGAAACCAAGCGAGCACUCGGAGAGUUGGAGAACUCAGGUUUAUGACGCCGGUGGGCUCAGAGGAGAUCGCUCUC